rnacentral:antisense_RNA from 1 species
CGUUACGGCGGCUGUGCGUGGGACGCCCUUGGGCGUGCCGGUUUCCUUGGUUUCCCGGUUUACCACCCUGCGCACAGCUGCCACCCUU